ensembl:antisense Gm10390 predicted gene 10390
CUUGUCUCCCAGCAAUGCCACCACAGCACAGCUGCUUGUACUUGCACAGGCAAAGCUUAGGAAAAGAGUGACUCAGGAUGGAGAAGGGGACGUCGGCUCCUGAGGAAGACGCAGAACAACAGACACUAGUCACCUCGACCUCAGACAAGGGAGGCUGUUGACAUCUCUGAGGGACACCACCUACACAUAAAGUACUUCACCUGCUCCAUGCGCCAGGAGCCUCCCAGGGGCAGGCCAGCUGAGGGACCGCUCUUGAUCGGAUCUGGCCUCCCCAGCCACCCUCCCCCAUGGAUCUGCUCUAGGCUGGAAGUACACUGGCUGAAGUCCCGCAUGGCUGAGCCCACUUCUCCAGCUUGUUCAAAGCCCUGCUUGUGCCCUUUGGAGCCAGCGCCAUGUGUUUUCCAGCUGCAGGCCCAGCUGGCUCUCUUCCUGCCCAGUCUCUAACAUGUCGUAACCAGGGCACCACCCUUAGCAGCAGAUGAAUGCCGCCACAGUUCCCACAGAGUGGGCAAGGCAGCUCUGAGGGUCAGCUCCUCGGCUCCUCACUGCUAGGGGACAGGCCCACCCCAGAGUGUGCAGGUACCGAGGCUGAUCCUGUCCACACGUGUCUGAGGUGACAAAGCCCCUAAGCAGCUAAGCUGGGAUGAAGCCCCACUACUCCACACUGCCCUCUUCAAGAUUCAAGCGAGCCUCCAGCCUGGCACCCAUGGGAGGCAACGGAAGCACUCCUCACACUGCCACUGGUCUCCUUCCCGUGUCUGCAGCCCCGAGCCCAGCUCCUUCCAGCUCCUGACUUCAUCUGAUCCUGGCCUGCCCACCCUCCCUUUCCGGAUUCAUACCUCAGUGACAUUGAACGGGGCUCCCCGGAGCUUCACGGUGUAGGGGGUAGUGGGUUCCUUCUGGCUGACUGGCUUCUCUACCUGAGGAAUCACAAAGAUGGUGAGUACCUGACGCUCACGUGGCAGGUGGUGGUGGCUGGGACACCCUGGAGCUGGAAGGGGCACCAGCUGCCGGGGGAGCUGGAGAAUGCCAGGAGAAUCCCUGUCUGCUGUGAGCUGAGCCUGGACAGAGCUGGAGGAGGCAGCUGCAUGCGAAACCUGGUGAGACACCAGCCCUGGCCCCAGGAAGGAACCUAGAGGUACCACUGAGGCAGGCCUUGUCCAGUGUCCAGCUGAGAGUACAAUUCCACAAAGAUGCUGGGAUCAGGAUCUGCUAUUCUGGAGUACCAACAACUUCCAAGGGCCUCUGCCCUUGAUUUCUCCUUUGAAGCCCAAACCUGUCCUGACUAGAAUUCUUUCCCUGGCAAAGUCUGUUCUGGACUGCUGUGUACCCCAGCUUCGUUCAGCACAGGAACCCCAAGGGCUGUGGUCCCACCCGAGUCUCUAAGUGUCUUGUCUCUGCAGCAGAGAGGACCUCCUGGUGGGAGAGAGGGACCAUCAAGGUCUCAGCUAUCUGUGCAAUCUGAGCUUCAGGCUCCGAGCCUUGGCCCCACCACUUCCCAGCCGUCACCGUGGGUGAAGCUGCCUCACCUGCUUCCUCACCUGUGCAGAGGACUGUAACGUCAAUCAUUGACUUGUGAGGGAUAUUACCCAGCAUGCAGCUCGUCCAUCCAUCCAUCCAUCCAUCCAUCCAUCCAUCCAUCCAUCUAUCCAUCUAUCUAUAUAUCUAUCUUGCUGCUAAGUAUAAGGCAGGACCCGCCCAGUUCAUUGAUAACCCACGACUCCAGCAGCAGACGGCUUCCCGGGGCCCACAGGGACCUAUGGUGUGAGGACACCUAUGGGCAAGUAAGUGGCCUUCCCUUCCAGGCAAUCCUCUAGGCAAGGGGCUACAGGGACACUAUGUAACCCAAGCCCAGUGUAUCCUCAGCCCUCACAGACACAGUCACACAGAGGUACAGACACAGAUAGAUAGACAGGCAGACAGACAGACCUUGCCAGCAGCUUCCUGGGGCCUCAGGACCCCAGGCACGGCUCCCCGGCUCACACCUCCUUGCUUGGCUGGGGAGGCAGGGGAGCCCUCCUCUUCCUCUUCCUCACUCCCUUCUUCACAGUUCACCGCCUCGUCUUCACUGUCCUCUUCGUCCUCAUCCUCAGAGGACACCUCAGCCCGCACCAUCUUGGAUUUCAAGUAGUCCAUGUCUGACAGCUCCUUCUGCACAGCUGCCUUUGGCUGCAGGCCUUGUUCCUCUGGGGAAACAGAGCUCAGUGACCUUAGUGAGCAGAGACAGCACACCCACCAUGGCCAAGGCCCUCACACAUAAGCAGCUCCAGCCAGUUCUCUGACAGGCAGUGCCGGGUGGUGGACUGGGAACGCUGGACUGUGCAUGUCUCUCUAUCCCAGGGCACAUGGAGAUCUGUGGAUCCCUUUCACCAUCCUGGCCCUUUCCAGCCCUCCCUCCCCCAUAAGAUUUAUGGGUGUGUCUGUGUGUGGAUGUGUGCACGUGAGUACAGUGCCCAUAGAGGCCAGAAGAGGGCGCUGGAGUUAUGGGCAACUGUGAGUCAUCAUGUGGGUGCUGGGCACUGACCUCAGAUCUUGUGGUAGAGGAUUAAAUGUACUUAAAGACUGAAUCAGUCUCCCUAGCAACCCAAGAUCCCUUUUUUAGGUUCAUCUUUAAACAAUCAUUAAAAAUCCUGCACAACACAGUUACCCCUUUUGAUUAUGGCAGAGGGUGCUAUAAUCCAUCCGUUCAGGAAAACCCAUGAGUGCCAGACACCAGGUAUGGGUGUGUGUAUGUGUGUGUGUGUGUGUGUGUGUGUAUGUGUGUGCACUGUACACCUGUCACCCAGUGUCCUUUUACCCUUGCUAUCCCUGGUGAACAGUGUAGUUUGCACACAAAUACAAAGGGCACCUGGUGUGUCAUACUUGGAUGACAAGGGAUGGAUGAGAGGAAGCUGGAAGGGAGUUACCAGGGAAGGCUGACUGAGGAAGACGGCCAUCCCUUACACUGCAGUGCGCACUCCUAGCACACUGUGAGGCGGUGGCUCUGUUCAGCACCCUCCAGGGGUUUCGGGGUGGAGUUUGAAUUCCCCUCUCCCAUCUCCUGAAACCGGGCCACAUCUCUAGCCACUGUGCUGUCCUUUCCUUUGAGACUCUCCUAGCUGUUUCCCACUUUCUCUGCUUCUCCACCCUCAGUCACACAGUCCUCGGCUCAGUAGACUACCAGACUGAGCUGUGUCAAUCCAACUCCUCACCUGUAAACCACAACGGUCCUCACUCUGGCCCGCAGCUUACAGUCUACAUUCUGUGCUCUGAUUGGCUGCUUACAAGCCACAGCAGGGCCCAUGAAAGCACAACACCAUACUACUACCCCCUAGAGCAGCAGGAGCCCUUCCAGAAAGCUUUCCCAGGCCCUGUCCUAUCUCCUUGCCACACCUGUCACCACACAUGCCCCACUGGGAACUACCUGCCUUGCCACUCUGCUCUCACCAGGAUGCCCCCUGCACAGGUGCAGAGAUUCUUGGGGUCUUUUCUCACUGCUGUGUCCCCAGUCCCUACAGCUGUGCUUGGCAUACUGUAUAUGCUUGGUGACUACUGGCUGAGUCAGGUGACCAGAUCUGCCUGGGGGGAGACACACCAAUGAGUAGGCUGCCCAUUCAAUGGCUAGAGGGUAGCACCUGGUGGCCCUUUCCUUCCGAGUCCUGCUUGACCAUGUGUAAGGGACAGAUGACAUGGUUCCUGCCCCUGGAACAGAGCCAGCAGGGCAUGGACUCUCAUGAGUGUUGAUGGUUGUUGUAUAAUAAUAUAUAUAUUUUCAUCUUCCUCCUUGGAAGAAUAUCCUCUCUGUCAAGGUUAAGGACUCCAUGAUAAUCAGAGACAGCAUGAGUCUGGGAGGCGAGGGUGUUUCUAUGUCUCAGCAAAAUGGUAGAAUGCUGUGACCUUCAGGACAGCCCUUAAGGCUGUGGGAAACAUCUCUGAAAACAUGAGCUUGAAAAUAUAUAGUUUCUCAACUGUGCAAAAACAUAAGGAUGCUCUUGAAAAACC